AGGGAGCUUUUCUGCUGAGUGACUCAUGGGAUGUCUCAGUGCUCCUGGGAGGUAUGGGACCAGGCCAGGGCUCCUCCAUGGGGCCAUCUCCAUGGGACUGGUGCCCUGAGAUGUCAGGGACACCAAGUCACUCUGUCUAGGUCAGAACAUCCAGACUUCUGACUUCCAAAUCAGUGCUCUCUCACCUUCCCCAGCGCAGCUCCUGCCUAGACUCCGUGUCUGACCACUGUUCAGUCCAGAUGGCUCAGGUAGGGCUCUGGAGAUGGAGCACGUGACCCUGACCUAAGCCAAUCAGACUUCAGAGACUGUGACAGAUGCUGGUAUAACCAAAGAUUCAGGGCUUUUUAAAGAAAACUCUUGGAAAGGAACCUGAAGUUUCUCUUGCAUCAAAAGAAUAUGUACAGAGCUUCGGAUGCACCUUAGAGCUUGAAAAUGAUGCUGAGGACUGAAGAAAGGCCAUAGUGUGGAGACAGCAAGAAGCCUCUGAUCCAGCCUUGCCUGAAGCUGGCAUACUUUGGCCCUUUUAGCAAUAGGAACUAAUAAAUUCUUUUGGUUUAAAUCCA